GCCGAGGGGAGGGCCCGCCGGGGGCCGACCUGCCGGCUCCUCCCCCCGCCGCCCUGCGCGCAUAAAGCCCGGCGCUCGCCCGCGCGCCCGGGCGCCCGCGGAGGCGGCGGCGCCGGGACCCCCCUCCUGCUGGGCUCCCGGGUCUCCCGGGCCGAGCCAGACCCGGAAUCCCGGUGCGGGUCGGGACCAGGGCGCGGCCGCACCCCUCACCCACCCCGGCGUGGGGGCCUGGCCGCGGGAACGCCCUCCCGGAAUGAAGCGCUUCCCGGUGCCUCCAAGGUAGCUCGGUUCCGGAUCGGGAACACCCCUGGUCUUCCCUCUCAGGUCCCUGUUGUCCAGAAUAGAAGAGAACCCCAAUCUCCUUGGGUCGGGCGGGAGUGCCCCAGUGCCCCCCAGCCCUCACACGCUCCAUUUCCCCAGUCGGAGCGAGAAGCCGCCCUCAGAGCCCCCAGUUUCCUCCCAACCUAAUUUAGAGUCUCCCCCCCCCCCCCCCGGCCCAGGGCUCUAAUUUAGAGCCCUCGCUCCGUUCCCUGUGUCCCAUAUCCAGUUUGGGGACCCUCUCAGUGGCUCGCGUCCCGAGUGGGGAACCUCCAUCAGUACCACCCCAGUAAAAACUGUAUCCGCUCCCCAAUGAGUCCUCAGCCCUUGCUGGCCAAAGUGAGAGUCCCCUUUAGCUCCCCCAAAUCCCUUCGGUCCACAGUAGUGGACCCUACGGUCUAUUGAGAAAAUCCCCCGCCCCAAACAUGGGUUCCCAGUUUGCCGCCACCCCCAACCCCCGGUGUGAGGAGUCUCCCCUGGUUCUCUCCCUCCCUGGCUGGUUUUUGUGAGCUCCAUUUAGACUUCUGUCCGGAUUCGGGAAACCCUGUUCCAGUCGCUCACCACCCCCACCACACCGAGGCUGGAGGAGAAGGCAGUGCCUCUUAGAGCCUCCCGUUUCCCGUUUAGGAGCCCGACGCCUCAUCUGUGCACCGUCCCCUCCGAAUGACCCCCUUCUUUUGCAGAGGUCUAAGCUCCACCCUAUCCGAUUGGAAGAGCCUAAACUACCUUCUCACUGCAUUUGGAAUGACUUCGCUCAGUUCCUCUUAUUUUGAGGCUACUCCCCAAGAAAGCAAACACCUUCUCCCUACCCCCAUCUUCUGGGUCUCUGGGAUCCCCCAGUACUUGCACCCAAGGCUCCUGGGAGUCACCUCACGUACCCCUAAAAUUCCCUCCCUCCAGCCUGGGAACAACCCUAAGAAAGUCUAUUAUGAAUCGCCAGGGGGGCUGCGGGGCCACGCUCCUUUUCUCCACCUCUCCAUAUCCAAGCCUUAGGACCCCCGACUUCCCUGGCUGAAACCAGCCAAGAAAGGGUCAAAGCAGGAAGCUAAGGCGGCCAACACCCCCACUCCCCAUCCCUGCUGGGGGUCUCGGUGCCACACAAGCUCCUCCCUCCCAACUGGCCUCCUACUUCUUCCCCCAUCCCUACCUUAAUCCAUCCGGUGUAAUCCAGUGACGGCCCUUGGUGACAAGCCCUUUGCUGUUCACCUUCACAUCCAUCCUGAAUUCAACACCUUUUAUCCAUGUGUGCAGCAGCUCUGGGCAUCAUAACUCUGACCCCUGGCAGGGUGCCCAUCCCCGUCUUGUUGGCCUUCCUUCCCUCCCCUUACCCCAACCACCACGAAGAGAAAAGGAGAGACUUACAGUAAUGGUUUCCUUGGGGACCUUCUGGGAAUGCUCAGCAGGUAUAUCCUGUCACUCUGUGAGCAUAACACUAGGAACAAACUUGCUUUUUCCUGUUUGUGUCCCUACUCUGCCCCACAGUUUCCCAGCAUCCCCUGGACUGGGGAUGGGGGGCACCCCACACAAGGCAUUUUUUACCAUUCCAACACAAACAUUCCAGUGUGUGUCAUACGUAGGAAAGACAGAAGAGGGUGAAGAAGUGGCCUCUGCAGUAUUAGGGAGCUGACUGUUCUUAGGUUUGAACUUAAAAAGGAGAGGUGCUUAAUGGAGAGGUGCAAGGAGCAGGGAUCUCCCAGUGUUCCUGGGCAUUGAUUUGUGUGCUGGUGCUGCUGGACAGAUGAGCCUGAAGGAUAGGAAAUGGCUCCUUUCCUGUGGUGACCACCUACCCAUGAGAACACGCCUCUUGCAAAGGAUCUCCAUCCCUCUCCAGAAGAGGAGAAGAAGAGACACAAGAAGAAACGUCUGGUGCAGAGCCCCAAUUCCUACUCCAUGGAUAUGAAAUACCCAGGAUGCUAUAAAAUCACCACGGUCUUCAGUCACGAAUGAAUGGUAGUUUUGUGUGUUGGCUGCUCCACUGUCCUCUGCCAGCCUACAGGAGGAAAAGCAAGGCUUACAGGAGGAUGUUCCUUCAGGAGGAAGCAGCACUAAAAGCAUUCUGAAUCAAGAUGAGUGGGAAACCAUCUCAAUAAACACAUUCUGGAUUUUAAAAAAGGAGUGGGGGGGGGGGGGAAUGGGUAAGGGCAUCUGUUCAGAGCCAGCCAAGGCUGUGUAAGAAGUAGCUUGAGAUAGGAUCCAUGUAUUAGCAUCUUCAUUCAGGAUCUCAGAGGAGGAAGCGUUUGUUUCUUUUAGUCAGUAGCGUGUUUGUAUCACAGUAACAUAGGUUAGACUUAGAGAAGUCCUCUUUCACUACAGGUUUAUCGCAGCAGCACAGCUUCAGUCCACUUUGUUCACAGUAGGGGCAACAAGUCCUUCUAGAGGUAGCCCUCACAGGCCAAUGCAGUUGUAAAUGCAUGAUUCUCAUAGUACAUUAAGGAUCUCAGUGGUAUUAAGGAAAAAUGAUCUUUAGAGCAACUGGCCCAGACUUCAGAAUUAAGAGAUUAGAGGAUGCAGUUCCAGCUCUUUUUCUCUGGUACUACACACACAGAACAUCACUCCAAGAAUAAAAGAAGAAUUUGCUUUAUGGUUUAAAAGAAAAUCCUCUUGAGAAAGACAGUGGGCAGAUGAUAUUAUGCAACUUGGCACACGUGUGUACCAAACGUCUUCUACUUACUAGACACUGUCCUGGGUGCUGUAGUCCCAGCAGCUGCCUUUGUAAAGCUUGCAUUCUACAGAUGGGAGUCAUGGUCUCACUAUGUUGCCCAGGCUGGCCUCCAGCUCCUGAACUCAAGCAAUCCUCUACUACCAUGACCUCCCAAAGUGCUGGGAUUACAAAUGUAAGUCGCUGUGCCCAGCCUAAAAAGUAGACCAUAUUUUUAUUGACGAGAAGGUACAGAGAUUUCCCCCAUGCCCUCUGCCCCCGCAUGUGUAUAACCUUUCCCACUGUCAACAUCCGCCACCAGAGUGGUACAUUCGUUACAACUGGUGAACCUAUACUGACACAUGAUUGUCACUGAGAGUCCAUAGUUUAGAGUUCACUCUUGGUUUUGUACAUUCUGUGUGUUUGGACAUGUAUCUCCUGUUGUAUCCAUGUAUAAGGACAUGUAUCUCCCAUUAUAUCAGACGAAGUGGUUUCACCGUCCUCAACAUUCUCUGUGCUCUACCUAUUUGUUUUUCCCUCCCCCAACCCCUGACAACCAUUGAUCUUUUACUCUCCAUAGUUUUCUUUUUUCAAGAAUGUCAUAUAGUUUCAAUCAUAAAGUAUAUAGCCUUUUAGACUGGCUUCUUUCACUUAGUAUUACACAUUCAAGAUUCCUCCAUGUUGCCGGGCAGUGGCUCACACCUGUAAUCCCAGCACUUUGGGAGGCCGAGACAGGCAGAUUACGAGGUCAGGAGUUCCAGACCAACCUGGCCAACAUAGUGAAACCCAUCUCUACUAAAAGCACAAAAAAUUAGCUGGGCAUAAUGGUGGAUGCCUGUAAUCCCAGCUACUUGGGAGCCUGAGGCAGGAGAAUCGCUUGAACCAGGACCUGGGAGGCGGAGGUUGCAGUGAGGCAAGAUUGGGCCACUGCAGUCCAUGUUGAAAGAAAGGCUGGAGGGGGGGUGGGGGAGGAAGGGAAGAAGAAAAGGAAGAAAGAUUCCUCCAUGUUGGCAUGUUGGCUUUUGUGUUUGGGGGGGUUUCAUUUUUUUUUGUUUCUUGUGUUUUUUGUCAUUUGUUUGUUUGAGACCAGGUUUCCCUCUGUUGCCCAGGCUAGAGUGCAGAGGCAUGAUUAGGCUCACUGCAACCUCAACUUCCCAGGCUCAAGCAAUCCUCCCACCUCAGGCUCCUGGACAGCUGGGACUACAGAAUAGUUGGGACUACAGCUGCACGCCACUGCCCCUGGCUCAUUUUUGUAUUUUUUGUAGAGACAGGGUUGCACCAUGUUGCCCAGGCUGGUCUGGAACUCCUAGCUUCAAGUGAUCCACCUGCCUCAGCCUCUCAAAGUGCUGGGAUUACAGGCGUGAGCCACCUGGCCUGGCCCCCACCAUGUCUCUUCAUAGCUUGAUUACUCGUCUCUUUUUAGGGCUGGAUACUAGUCUGUACUCUAGAUGUACCACAGUUUUCGCGUCCAUUCACCUCCUGAAAGACAUCUUGCUUGCUUUCAAAUUUUGGCAAUUAUGAAUAAAGCUGCUAUAAACAUCCAAGUCCAGGUUUUUGUGUGGACGUAGGUUUUCAGUCCCUCACUUUUUUGUCCUAAUUUUUGUCUCUCUUUUUUUUUUCCUUCUCUCAAAUUUCUGGACUCAACCAGAAGGCUAUCAGCUGGGGUAAUGAGAGCACUUGACUGAGAAUCUAAAGAUCCACACGCUGGUCUUGGGACUGUCACUGUUUCUGGUUGAGUGGUUCUAGGGAUACACCACUUAGCCUUGUGAGCUUCCAUUUACUUUCGGAGUUGCUGGAAGACUUUCGUGAGAGCAUGUAUUUGAAAGCUCCUUAGACGCUCUAAAGCACUAUGGGAAAGUAAGGGUAGAGCUGUCCAUCAAAGCGCCAUGGGAGUACCGGGUGUGCUGACUCAUGCCUGUAAUCCCAGCACUUUGGGAGGCUGAGGCAGGAGGAUCACUUGAGGUCAGGAGUUUGAGACCAGCCUAGCCAACAUGGCAUUUUCCCUUCUCUACCAAAAAUACAAAAAUGGACCAGGCAUGAUAGCACAUGCCUGUAAUCCCAGCUACUGGGGAGGCUGAGGUGGGAGAAUCACUUGAACCCGGGAAGCGGAGGCUGCAGUGAGCCAAGAUCCUGCCACUGCACUCCAGCCUGGGUGGCAGAGUGAGACUCUGUCUCAAAACAAACAAAAAGCAGCACCAUGGGAAGGUAAGGAUAGAGCUGUUCAUCAACUCCAUACAAUGGAAUAUUAUUCGGCCAUAAAAAGGAAUGCAGUACUGGUACCUUUUACAACACGCAUGAACCUUGAAGACAUUUUGCUGAGUGAAAGGAGCCAAAAACAAAAGGCCACAUAUUUCAUGAUUCCAUUUACACGAGAUGUCCACAAUAGGCAAAUCCACAAAAAGAGGAAGUAAACAGGUGGCUGUCUAGAGCUUGGAGGGUGAGGGAAGACACAGGGAAAUGGGGCGUGACUGCCAGUGGGUCCAGGUUUCUUUCAGGAGUGAUAAAAAUGUUCUAAAAUUGGUUAUAGUGAUGGUUACACAAUUCUUCGGAUAUAUUUUAAAAUGUUGAAUUAUAUACUUUAAGUGGGUAAAUUGGAUGGCAUGUGAAUUAUAUCUCUAUAAAGCUGUUACCAAAAAAAAGCAAACCAUUUACCUAGUUUGAACCUUUCGCUGAUCUCAGUGCCUAUCCAUGGAAAUGAAUUGCCUCUUUUCUCCCCUAACACGUUGCUUUUACUUUUAUUUUAUUUUUUUCUUUUUUAAUAUCACAGUCCUAAAUAUAUAUACACCUAAUACUUUUAUUAUUAUUAUUUAGAAGUUAUUAAGCAUAUCCCACAUACUAGACGUGGUGCUAUGGGCUUUUCAGGAAUUCUCCCAUUUCAUUCUCCCAGCAAUUCUACAAGGUAGGAACUUCUGUGUUUUUAUUUUACUAACCAAGAAAACAAGUCUUAGAGAAGUUAAGGAAUUUGUCCAAAGUCACAUAGAGAUCCUCCUCUAUUUACAAUGAAGCUACAUCCCAAUAAAACCAUCAUAAGUCAAAAAUACUUUCAGGCCAGGCUCAGUGGCUCACACCUGUAAUCCCAGCACUUCAGGAGGCUGAGGGGGGAGGAUUGCUUGAGUCUAGGAGUUGGAGACCAGCCUGGGCAACAUGGUAAAAUCCCAUCUCUACUAAAAUACAAAAAAGUUAGCCAGGUGUGGUGGCACAUGCUUGUAGUCACAGCUACUCAGGAGGCUGAGGUGGGAGGAUCACUUGAGCUCAGGAAGUCAAGGCUGCAGUGAGCCAUGAUCGUACCACUGCAUUCUGGCCUGGGUGACAGGAGUAAGACCCUGUGUCAAAAAAAAAAAAAGUCGGGUGUGUGGCACGCCCUGUAGUGUAGUCCCAGCUGGAGUUGAGGCAUACUCACCCUCUGGAGGCUGAGGCACGAGGUGAGCCUGAGAGAUUGAAGUUUCAAUGAGCCAUGAUUGUGCCACUGUUUUCCAGUCUGGGCAACAGAGUGAAAUCCUGUCUCAAAAUGUAUUUUAUGCAUAUAUAUGUGUAUACAUAUAUUUAAUGCAUAUAUAUGCAUAAAAUACAUUUAAUACCCUGAAAAACCUACCAUAAGGUCAAAACAUCAUAAGUUGCACCACUGUAAAUCAGAGAUCAUCUGUACUAAAUGAUAAACUAAUAGCUACAAUGUACUGAGCAAUUAUUGUGUCCCAGGCACUUUGCUUUGGAAAACUCAGUCCUUGCAACAACUGUCUGAGCUGGAUCCCUAUUUUACAGAUCAGGAAACAGAAGCAUUGAGAGGUCAACUGGCUAAUAAAGAUCAGAUGGGUGAUAAGUAGGGGAGCUGAGAUUCGAACUCAAGUCUGAUACCACAGUUCCCAUCAGAAACUUCAUCAUGAACAUCAUGAAAAUCUUUUUAUAUUAUCCACCUAUGCAAUGGGCAUGCAAUGCACCUAUUAUUACAGAUGGUUCUGGAAUGUGUGUUUUGCUGGAAUGGGAGCUCUCUAAGGGGAAGUCCCUUGAAGCUCCUUGCAUUCUCCUCCGCUACCCCUUAUCCUCAGGACCAUACCUUACACUACGUACUCAAUAGUUGGCUUUUGUUUGUUUGUUUGUUUGUUUCUUUUUGAGGGUCUCAAAACAGAGUGAGACAUACUCAAGCCCAGUUAAUUUUUUUACUUUAUUUUAUUUUUAAUUUUCUGAGACAGAGUCUCACUUUGUUGGCCAGGUUGGAGUGCGGUGGUGCAAUCUUGGCUCACUGUACCCUCCACCUCUCGUGUUCAAGGGAUUCUCCUGCCUCAGCUUCCUGAGCAGCUGGGACUACAGGUACCCACCACCAUACCUGGCUAAUUUUUUGUAGCUUUAGUAGAGAUGGGGUUUCACCGUGUUAGCCAGGAUGGUCUCAAUCUCCUGACCUCAUGAUCUGCCCGCCUCGGCCUCCCAAAGUGCUGGGAUUACAGGCAGGAGCCACCUAGCCCGGCCAAUUUUUGUAUUUUUUGUAGAGACAGGGUUUCGCUAUCUUUCCCAGGCUGGUCUCAAAUUCCUGAGCUCAAGCAAUGUUCCUGCCUCAGCCUCCCCAGGUGCUGGAAAUACAGGCCUCACUAGUUGUACUUGCCUAGAAGCCAUCACGGUGCUAGGGCUGGAGGAUGAGACAGUGAAUGAGACAGUGAUUCCUACUUUCACAGACCUGACAAUCUGGAGACACUCACAAGAAUUUUACAUACAUCUUUUUUGCCCAGGCUGGUCUUGACCUCCUGGGCUCAAGCGAUAUUCCCUUCCUCAGCCUCCCAUAGUGCUGGGAUUACAGGCAUGCCCCACCAUGUCCGACUGAUAUACAUCUUUUUGACCAGGUCUUUAGAAUCACUGCAAUAAUUCAAUGUAGGAGGUUCUAUUAAUGUGCUUGCCUUACAGAUGACAAAACUGAGACUCAAACAACUGAAGUGACAUGCCCAAAGUCAUGCAGCUGGCCAGUCUGAAAGCCCAGCUCUACCUGCCCCAAACAUGCUACACUGUCUCCAUUCCCCACCCCCCAACCUUCCCUGCUGCCCUGGCAGUGAGGGAAUUAAAUAAACUAUUCUGCUUGUCCAGCUGAGAACACACACAGUCUGUCCAGACCUGCUGACUCUCCCACUUUCUCACUUUCUCACUGUCGCUUCCAGUGACAGCCAGAUCUGGUUUGAUGUGCUGGUGAAAGGGGGAUGCUUCAGAGUUUUAUGGUUUUAGCAUCUGAAGUCACCUCUCUGCUGUAAUUAGCUCUGUGAUUUAAUCUGCUCAACUAAUCAUUCUACAAUUCAGGAGCCAAAGACAAGGCAUGUUAAGAGCAUGCCUCCUUCAAGGUUUUUUUUUAAUGUUUAUUUUGGGAAACUGAAACUGCGGACCUGGAGAAAUGAAAGGGCAGGUCUGUCAGUGCUGACUGUGGGGAAGGGGUGCCAGGCGGCGGGCAGGGGCUUCUCUUACACUUAGGCCAGACCUAAAGAUGAGGGGCUGGCUAGAGGGGAGGUUCCCAUCUCAGAGCCCUGUCUGGAGAACAAAGCACACUCCCUAGAGACCAGGUUUUCAGGGACCAUGGAAAUCAUUUUUGGAGUUUGUGAACAUAGUGGAAAAAACAUCAGGGAGUCAGGAUCCUGGGGCUCCACCUCUGACCUUGAAGCAGGCUCUUCCCCUCUCUGAGCACUAGUUUAUUCAUGUGCAAAAUGGAAAGUGGCCAUAUUAUUCCUGAGAUGGAAAAUUGGUUUCAGUUUUUCUACUCACCCUCCCAAAGUAUCUUCAAAAUGGCGUAGUGGCUGGGGCUGGGCAAGGAUAGAAAUCGGUGAUUGAUUAGUGAUGUCAGCCUUGUGCAGGUGUGCUAUAGAGUUGCCUUCUCUGAACUAGAUGAUCACUAUCUCUUUUCCAGUUUGGGUCUUCUAGAGACUUUAGAACAAGAAGGGCAAGAACUAAGAGCUAUGCAGCAUCACCAGGAGUCAGGCAACCAAGGGAAGAACCACAUGAUUCUAUACGUGGAGGAAAAGUAUUUACAUCAAACCAUAAGCCAUUGGUCUCACAUCAUUAACAUGGUGGAGAGGCAGGGGGCACAUAUUGUGUGUUAGUAUGAGUAUGAGCAUGAAUUUUUUUCUGUGAGUAUGGAUUUAUCUUAACAACCAGAAAACAGUAAAAAUAAUUUAAAUGAGUCUAUUUAAAGACUGUUCAAGAACACUGAUAGCAGCAUUAUUCAUAAUAGCCAGAAAUUGGAAGUAAACCAAUGUCCAUCAACAGGAGAAUGGAAAAACUACGAUAUAUUCAUACACUGGAAUACUAUGCAAAAAUGAAAAGGGCCAGGCGUGGUGGCUCUCACCUGUAAUCCCAACACUUUGGGAGUGGAUCAUUUGAGGCCAGGAGUUCGGGACCAGCCUGGCCUACAUGGCGAAAUCCCAUCUCUACUAAAAAUGCAAAAAUUAGCUGGAUGUGGUGGUACAGGCCUGUAAUCUCAGCUACUUGAGAUGUUGAGAAAGGAGAAUCACUUGAACCUGGGAGGUGGAGGUUGCAGUGUGCCAAGAUCACACCACUGCACUACAGCCUGGUGACAGGGAUUCCAUUAAAUAAAUAAAUAAAUAAAAAGACCAAGUGUGGUGGCUCACACCUGUAAUCCCAGCAUUUUGGGAGGCUAAGGAGGUCAGAUUGUUUGAGGCCAGGAGUUUGAGAUCAACCUGGCCAACAUGGUGAAACUCCAUCUCUACUAAAAGUACAAAAAUUAGCUGGGCAUGGUGGAAUGAGCUGUAGUCCCAGCUACUUGGGAGACUGAGGCAGGAGAACCGCUUGAACCUGGGAAGCAGAGAUUGGAGUGAGCCAAAAUCUGGCCUGGGCAACAGAGUAAAACUCUAUCUCAAAAAAAAAAAAAAAAAAA